rnacentral:rRNA from 1 species
CCUACGGGCGGCAGCAGUGAGGAAUAUUGGUCAAUGGAUGAGAGUCUGAACCAGCCAAGUAGCGUGAAGGAUGACUGCCCUAUGGGUUGUAAACUUCUUUUAUAUGGGAAUAAAAUGUUCCACGUGUGGGAUUUUGUAUGUACCAUAUGAAUAAGGAUCGGCUAACUCCGUGCCAGCAGCCGCGGUAAUACGGAGGAUCCGAGAGUUAUCCGGAUUUAUUGGGUUUAAAGGGAGCGUAGGUGGAUUGUUAAGUCAGUUGUGAAAGUUUGCGGCUCAACCGUAAAAUUGCAGUUGAAACUGGCAGUCUGGAGUACAGUAGAGGUGGGCGGAAUUCGUGGUGUAGCGGUGAAAUGCUUAGAUAUCACGAAGAACUCCGAUUGCGAAGGCAGCUCACUGGACUGCAACUGACACUGAGGCUCGAAAGUGUGGGUAUCAAACAGGAUUAGAUACCCCUGUAGUC